rnacentral:lncRNA from 1 species
CCCGGGUGCAGACAUGGCACCGCUUGGCUAAGCCAUACUGUGUUACCAAGACUCCCUGGGUGGCAGCAAAAAAGUCAACAAGGAAAUAAAACUCCACCACCUGGCGUAUUAGUUGGGGAUAAAGCUAUACACAGAUUGAGCAUGGAUUAUUUGCAUCAACUGUAGAAAGCAAUUCAUGAACAAAGAAAAGUCCACAGUUUGGGAGAAUAGACCAGAAUAUGAGAGAGGAGGCAAAACACAUCAUAUUCUUGGGAAGGAAGAUGGCAGAAGCUGCAUUGGAAAACAGUCAGCUCUAUCCUUUGGCCAUAGCAUUCUGAAAAGAAGAGAAAUCUGAAAGCAUUCUACACCCACAGCGAGCAGCAAGCAGGCCUUCUUCUGAAUUAGCAGUCCCCAUCAUGUGAGGACACACAGCAGUUUCCUCCAGCAGAAUCACCAAGCCCUGCAGCAACCUCAGGAGCCAAGAGUGAGAAGAUCUCCUCGUCAGGGUGCAUGUAGGGGUGUGAAUUAAGUGAUAGUGGGAUUUCUGCUUAUUAUGGGACCCCGAGAGACCCUGGGACACAUGGGGACUUCGGUUAUUCUCAACCCGCCUACUGCAGAACUGAAAACAUUGGAUUGUUUUGCGAUUUUCUCUCUUUUUUUAAAUUUAACUUUGUUCAGACACA